GCCUCUUUGGUCAGCACAUCAGGAAAUUGUUUAUAUUUUCUCGUAGGCUACAAAGGCUUAGCACUAAAUUAUUUUCUUUACUGUAAUGAUAUAUGUUAUGAAAAAUGUCUGUCUGUGCAGUUCCUGUGGAGUGCAGUGGUGGCAGCGUCAUGCUUUGGGGACACUGGGAGGAGAUGGAACCAAUCCCAGCAGUCAACACUAGAGGGCUAGUCAGUACUCCAGUUCAUCCCGGUCCACAAGGAACCCAAAGUCCAUCUGAGUUGAUACAGGGAGGAGAAACAGGAAAGUCCUCCUCCUGUGGCCUGCUCCUGUGGCCUCCUCCUGUGGCUUGACGUAUGAUGAUCUGCUGACAACAGCCCCUCUGCAACCUUGCAUUCUCCUUCUGGAGUGAUGAAAACCUCAGAAUGGGAACUUCCUGUAAACUCAAAUAAUAAAGUAAACGCUUGUUAUAUGUUUUCAUAUAUAUUCAUUAUAGACCCAUUUGUUUGUACAAUAUAUUAUCUUCUCUGGUAACAAACUACAUUUCCAGAUUUAAAUUUUUUUUUUCAAAUAUUAUUUUUUUGUUGUUGUUGUCAGUUUACACAGAACACAUCAGCCACAGCCACUGUUCAUCAUCUUAUGUACGGUUUAUGUUUUCUCGUGGUCAGCCUGCGGUUUAUUUGUCCAGAACAGGUUAAGUGAUGGAGUGACCACAGAAUUAUUUUGUCAAACUAGGUGUGGUUCAUUUCCCACCAUUCAGCUAAUGUGUUUUGUAACAGGAGACAGCGAGUCUUUGUUCCCACUUGAGUAGCACAGUGACAAUUUAGGAAUUCUAGGAGGCACCACUGUCACACCGCAUUACACUGAUGGAAAUUCUCCAGAACCUUCAGUAUUUUUGAAGAUCCGCAAUAGCACUCGGCUCACUUUGAAUUCUCCACAGUUAUCAUCUACAGCUCUGCUCUCCCCCGACUCAGAGUUAUGCAACAAUGUGUUCAUUCAGCAUUCAGCCCCAGGCAACACACAUGUAGUUUUGAACCUGUACAUUUGAUACACUGUGCAACAUCACAACAGACCACACGCUACUGGCCGGUACAGUGGACCGGUGGAUAGUUUGUGGAUCGUUAAGGAGCAGAACAUUUUUAACAUCUAUCCAAACAUCCAUCCAUUUUUAUCCGCUUAUCCGUUACCGUGUCGUGGGGGCAGCAGUCUCUAUGACCACCACCCAAAUCACACUGCACCGUA